rnacentral:rRNA from 1 species
UCGGGAAUAUUGCGCAAUGGAGGAAACUCUGACGCAGUGACGCCGCGUAUAGGAAGAAGGUUUUCGGAUUGUAAACUAUUGUCCACAGGGAAGAUAAAAGACUGUACCUGUGAAGAAAGCUCCGGCUAACUACGUGCC